GACAUAGUGCCCGAGUGGUUAAGGGGAUAGACUUGAAUUAAUCUCUGUGAGAAUUUGAUAUCUAUUAGCUUCGGCUUCGCAUGUUCGAAUCAUGUCUAUGUCG
rfam:Aspergillus wentii DTO 134E9 unplaced genomic scaffold ASPWEscaffold_9, whole genome shotgun sequence.